rnacentral:rRNA from 1 species
AGAGUUUGAUCCUGGCUCAGGAUGAACGCUGGCGGCGUGCUUAACACAUGCAAGUCGAACGAAGCACCUUGAUUUGAUUCUUCGGAUGAAGAUCUUGGUGACUGAGUGGCGGACGGGUGAGUAACGCGUGGGUAACCUGCCUCAUACAGGGGGAUAACAGUUAGAAAUGACUGCUAAUACCGCAUAAGACCACAGCACCGCAUGGUGCAGGGGUAAAAACUCCGGUGGUAUGAGAUGGACCCGCGUCUGAUUAGGCAGUUGGUGGGGUAACGGCCUACCAAGCCGACGAUCAGUAGCCGACCUGAGAGGGUGACCGGCCACAUUGGGACUGAGACACGGCCCAAACUCCUACGGGAGGCAGCAGUGGGGAAUAUUGCACAAUGGGGGAAACCCUGAUGCAGCGACGCCGCGUGAGCGAUGAAGUAUUUCGGUAUGUAAAGCUCUAUCAGCAGGGAAGAAAAUGACGGUACCUGACUAAGAAGCACCGGCUAAAUACGUGCCAGCAGCCGCGGUAAUACGUAUGGUGCAAGCGUUAUCCGGAUUUACUGGGUGUAAAGGGAGCGUAGACGGAGUGGCAAGUCUGAUGUGAAAACCCGGGGCUCAACCCCGGGACUGCAUUGGAAACUGUCAAUCUAGAGUACCGGAGAGGUAAGCGGAAUUCCUAGUGUAGCGGUGAAAUGCGUAGAUAUUAGGAGGAACACCAGUGGCGAAGGCGGCUUACUGGACGGUAACUGACGUUGAGGCUCGAAAGCGUGGGGAGCAAACAGGAUUAGAUACCCUGGUAGUCCCAGCCGUAAACGAUGGACGCUAGGUGUGGGGGGACGAUCCCCCCGUGCCGCAGCCAACGCAUUAAGCGUCCCGCCUGGGGAGUACGGCCGCAAGGCUAAAACUCAAAGGAAUUGACGGGGGCCCGCACAAGCAGCGGAGCAUGUGGCUUAAUUCGAAGCAACGCGAAGAACCUUACCAGGGCUUGACAUAUGGGUGAAGCGGGGGAGACCCCGUGGCCGAGAGGAGCCCAUACAGGUGGUGCAUGGCUGUCGUCAGCUCGUGUCGUGAGAUGUUGGGUUAAGUCCCGCAACGAGCGCAACCCCCGCCGCGUGUUGCCAUCGGGUGAUGCCGGGAACCCACGCGGGACCGCCGCCGUCAAGGCGGAGGAGAGCGGGGACGACGUCAAGUCAUCAUGCCCCUUAUGCCCUGGGCUGCACACGUGCUACAAUGGCCGGUACAGAGGGAUGCCACCCCGCGAGGGGGAGCGGAUCCCGGAAAGCCGGCCCCAGUUCGGAUUGGGGGCUGCAACCCGCCCCCAUGAAGUCGGAGUUGCUAGUAAUCGCGGAUCAGCAUGCCGCGGUGAAUGCGUUCCCGGGCCUUGCACUCACCGCCCGUCA